rnacentral:tRNA from 1 species
GUGGACAUGCAGCCCAGUUGGUAAGUUAGUUGUUUCUUAAACAAGAGGUCACGGGUUCGACUCCCGUUCCACG